UACGUAGGGUGCGAGCGUUGUCCGGAAUUAUUGGGCGUAAAGGGCUCGUAGGCGGUCUGUCGCGUCGGUAGUGAAAACUCAGGGCUUAACCCCGAGCCUGCAGUGGAUACGGGCAGACUAGAGGUAGGUAGGGGAGAAUGGAAUUCCCGGUGUAGCGGUGUAAUGCGCAGAUAUCGGGAAGAACACCCGUGGCGAAGGCGGCUCUCUGGGACGGUACUGACGCUGAGACGCGAAAGCGUGGGGAGCGAACAGG
rnacentral:rRNA from 1 species